GGCUGGUCCAAAGGUAGUGAGUUAGUUGAUUGUUGAUAGUCAGUUACAGAUCAAACUUCUCAUUCUACUCUUUCCCCCUUCUCACUAUUGCAUUUGACUACUCAAAA
ensembl:misc_RNA Y_RNA Y RNA